rnacentral:rRNA from 1 species
AUUGAACGCUGGCGGAAUGCUUUACACAUGCAAGUCGAACGGUAGAGGGGGCAACCCCUCGAGAGUGGCGAACGGGUGAGUAAUGUAUCGGAACGUGCCCAGUAGUGGGGGAUAACUACUCGAAAGAGUGGCUAAUACCGCAUGAGAACUGAGGUUGAAAGCGGGGGACCUUCGGGCCUCGCGCUACUGGAGCGGCCGAUAUCAGAUUAGGUAGUUGGUGGGGUAAAGGCCCACCAAGGCGACGAUCUGUAGCUGGUCUGAGAGGACGACCAGCCACACUGGAACUGAGACACGGUCCAGACUCCUACGGGAGGCAGCAGUGGGGAAUUUUGGACAAUGGGCGCAAGCCUGAUCCAGCAAUGCCGCGUGCAGGAAGAAGGCCUUCGGGUUGUAAACUGCUUUUGUACGGAACGAAACGGUCUGGGCUAAUACCCCGGGCUAAUGACGGUACCGUAAGAAUAAGCACCGGCUAACUACGUG